UCUCAGUGAUGACAAACAUGACAAGCAUAUAUCUGAUUGUCUGUGAUGUCACCUUGAGUCUGAGAGA